rfam:Methanobacterium sp. AL-21, complete genome.
GGGCCCGUAGCUCAGUCUGGCAGAGCGCUCGGCUCUUAACCGAGUUGCCGCGGGUUCAAUUCCCGUCGGGCCCG